UACAGAGGUCUCAAGCGUUGUUCGGAUUCAUUGGGCGUAAAGGGCGCGUAGGCGGCGGGGUAAGUCGGGUGUGAAAUCUCAGAGCUCAACUCUGAAAUGGCACUUGAUACUGCUCUGCUAGAGGACUGGAGAGGAGAUUGGAAUUCACGGUGUAGCAGUGAAAUGCGUAGAUAUCUGGAGGAAUACCGGUGGCGAAGGCGGCAUCCUGGACCGGCAUUGACGCUGAGUGAGCGAAAGCUAGGGGAGCAAACGGG
rnacentral:rRNA from 1 species